rnacentral:rRNA from 1 species
UACGUAGGGUGCAAGCGUUGUCCGGAAUUAUUGGGCGUAAAGAGCUCGUAGGCGGUCUGUCGCGUCUGCUGUGAAAACUCGGGGCUUAACCCCGGGCCUGCAGUGGGUACGGGCAGACUAGAGUGCGGUAGGGGAGACUGGAAUUCCUGGUGUAGCGGUGAAAUGCGCAGAUAUCAGGAGGAACACCGGUGGCGAAGGCGGGUCUCUGGGCCGGUACUGACGCUAAGGAGCGAAAGCGUGGGGAGCGAACAGG